rnacentral:ncRNA from 1 species
AAAAAAAUAGGUGAUGAAGCUCACCUCUAUAACUGAAAAACAAAUAUAAAUUAUUAAGUUUAUAUUUUAAAAUCAGUUAAGAAACUGUCUAUAUAGGCUAAUGGCUUCUACUUUCUA